GAUGAACGCUGGCGGCGUGCCUAAUACAUGCAAGUCGAGCGAAUGGAUUAAGAGCUUGCUCUUAUGAAGUUAGCGGCGGACGGGUGAGUAACACGUGGGUAACCUGCCCAUAAGACUGGGAUAACUCCGGGAAACCGGGGCUAAUACCGGAUAACAUUUUGAACCGCAUGGUUCGAAAUUGAAAGGCGGCUUCGGCUGUCACUUAUGGAUGGACCCGCGUCGCAUUAGCUAGUUGGUGUGGUAACGGCUCACCAAGGCAACGAUGCGUAGCCGACCUGAGAGGGUGAUCGGCCACGCUGGGACUGAGACACGGCCCAGAAUCCUACGGGAGGCAGCAGUAGGGAAUCUUCCGCAAUGGACGAAAGUCUGACGGAGCAACGCCGCGUGAGUGAUGAAGGCUUUCGGGUCGUAAAACUCUGUUGUUAGGGAAGAACAAGUGCUAGUUGAAUAAGCUGACACCUUGACGGUACCUAACCAGAAAGCCACGGCUAACUACGUGCCAGCCGCCGCAGUAA
rnacentral:rRNA from 1 species